rnacentral:rRNA from 1 species
GGAUUAGAUACCCUGGUAGUCCACGCCGUAAACGAUGUCGACUAGCCGUUGGGGAACUUGAGUCCUUGGUGGCGCAGUUAACGCUUUAAGUCGACCGCCUGGGGAGUACGGCCGCAAGGUUAAAACUCAAAUGAAUUGACGGGGGCCCGCACAAGCGGUGGAGCAUGUGGUUUAAUUCGAUGCAACGCGAAGAACCUUACCAGGCCUUGACAUCCUUGGAAUUCUGCAGAGAUGCGGAAGUGCCUUCGGGAAUCAAGUGACAGGUGCUGCAUGGCUGUCGUCAGCUCGUGCCG